rnacentral:lncRNA from 1 species
UAUUAAAAGUAUCUUGAGAUUUUCACUUGAGGUGAUUCGAUUAUAAUUGAAAGAGAGGGGUAAGAUUUUAAUUAUUAUAUCAAGUUCUUUCUGCAUCAGAAAAUUGGUCAACUCCAACCUCCAGGGCCGGAUUAACGGCGUCCUGGGUCCAUAGCGUAGGGGGAGAAGAAUGCUGGAGGUUUUCAGCAAUUUCUCUGCGGAGGUUGAGGGGACGCUGGACCUAUUAGGCACUUUUUGUUGUAAGUGCAGCGUAGAGGUCUAGGGGUUCAGCCCCUUCAUGAUGAUAAAUCCGGCCCUGUCAUGGUGUCCUUUUACUUACUAAUAUACUUACGAAGUAUCAUGGAAUGUUUCUACACUUACUACUACACUUACGAAGUAUCAUGGAAUAUUUACAAUGAUAACUAUUUUUGAUGAUUGAGUCACACUUCAAUAGUUAUUACAUGGCUGUGGAGUAUUAUGAUGUUUUUACAACACCGACUACACAACCCCAAAUAUCUUGCUAUUAUCUUUUAUUAUCUUGUAUUACUGCUGUCCGGGUUGCCAUUCAAGCACCAAAUUCAAGCGAGGAUCUCUUGCUUAUGAACUUGAAAAUGAGGAUCAAAAUAUGUCCUCUCAUUCUUUUCCAAGAGAUGGUAACCUUGCAACCAAAUGGUUGAACCUUAUUCCAAGAAAAGACUAGAAACCCAGCCAACAUUUAAAAAUAUGCAGCAUUUUGCCGAUUCAUAUUUCAAAGAAGAAAAUCACCACAAAAAGUUAUUAAUAUUUGUCCUGAACAAAAAAUCACUGGUUUCAAAUGUGAUCAAUAUUUUUUCCUAUUUGAGUAGUUAUAAAGAAGAAACGGAACAAUACUUAAUUUUAGAGGACAUCAUAGAUGCCUUCAAUAACUUCAAAGAAAAAAUAAUCAUUUUGAAUUAAUACAAGAGUAGCUAUUCCUUAAUUCAAAAACUCCAUAUGGCAGGAGAUAUUCUCCACUAAUUCAAGGAAUGUCCUUGUUAUGAAGCAACAAGUCCGACUUUAUUUCGACAAAUAAUUUCGUCCGUCUUAAUUGUUUUACCUUCAGGAAAUCACAUAAAAAAAACUCACCAGCAUUUUAUCAAUGGGAGCAGGACCUCAACAUCUGAUUAUUUGAGCUGUAAAAUAGAGCAAUAUUUGUAUUUUGCAUGGGUUUCUAUGUAAUGUAUGGAUAUAUAUAAAUUUAUAAUUACAAUGA